rnacentral:SRP_RNA from 1 species
ACCGGGCGUUGUGGCGUGCGCCUGUAAUCCAGUUACUUGGAGGCUUGGGUUGGAGGACGGUGUGAGAUUGGGAGCUCUGUGGCGCUCUGUCCUAUGUCGAUCGGGCGUCCGCGCUAAGCUCGGCGUCAAUAUGGGCAUUCCAGGGGAGCCCGGAGUGGCCAGGUU